CCUACGGGAGGCAGCAGUGGGGAAUAUUGGACAAUGGGGGGAACCCUGAUCCAGCCAUGCCGCGUGUGUGAAGAAGGCCCUCGGGUUGUAAAGCACUUUCAGUGAGGAAGAACGCCUGGUGGUUAAUACCCAUCAGCAAAGACAUCACUCACAGAAGAAGCACCGGCUAACUCCGUGCCAGCAGCCGCGGUAAUACGGAGGGUGCGAGCGUUAAUCGGAAUUACUGGGCGUAAAGCGCGCGUAGGUGGCUUGAUAAGCCGGUUGUGAAAGCCCCGGGCUCAACCUGGGAACGGCAUCCGGAACUGUCAAGCUAGAGUGCAGGAGAGGAAGGUAGAAUUCCCGGUGUAGCGGUGAAAUGCGUAGAGAUCGGGAGGAAUACCAGUGGCGAAGGCGGCCUUCUGGACUGACACUGACGCUGAGGUGCGAAAGCGUGGGUAGCAAACAGGAUUAGAUACCCUUGUAGUC
rnacentral:rRNA from 1 species